rnacentral:tRNA from 1 species
GAUGUGGCUCAGUGGUAGAGCACUUGCCUAACAUGCAUGAGGCACUGGGUUCAAUCCCCAGCACAUUA